rnacentral:lncRNA from 1 species
GUCCGGUAAAAGAGGUCAUCUCGGUUGCAGGUCGAGGAAAUUUGGAAUGCCAUGAGAAAAUGAGAGUAUAUUGGAUAGGGACAGAAAUUUAGCCUUUUAAACAGAGAAUCAGUUUUUGCAAGGGUUUUCUACACGAGGCAGCGGAUCUAACAUCUGUAUUUUGACUGGUCGUGGCUGUGUAUUUGAUACAUCCUUCAAAGCCAAAC